GACGAACGCUGGCGGCGUGCUUAACACAUGCAAGUCGAACGGAAAGGCCCUGCUUUUGUGGGGUGCUCGAGUGGCGAACGGGUGAGUAACACGUGAGUAACCUGCCCUUGACUUUGGGAUAACUUCAGGAAACUGGGGCUAAUACCGGAUAGGAGCUCCUGCUGCAUGGUGGGGGUUGGAAAGUUUCGGCGGUUGGGGAUGGACUCGCGGCUUAUCAGCUUGUUGGUGGGGUAGUGGCUUACCAAGGCUUUGACGGGUAGCCGGCCUGAGAGGGUGACCGGCCACAUUGGGACUGAGAUACGGCCCAGACUCCUACGGGAGGCAGCAGUGGGGAAUAUUGCACAAUGGGCGGAAGCCUGAUGCAGCAACGCCGCGUGCGGGAUGACGGCCUUCGGGUUGUAAACCGCUUUCGCCUGUGACGAAGCGUGAGUGACGGUAAUGGGUAAAGAAGCACCGGCUAACUACGUGCCAGCAGCCGCGGUGAUACGUAGGGUGCGAGCGUUGUCCGGAUUUAUUGGGCGUAAAGGGCUCGUAGGUGGUUGAUCGCGUCGGAAGUGUAAUCUUGGGGCUUAACCCUGAGCGUGCUUUCGAUACGGGUUGACUUGAGGAAGGUAGGGGAGAAUGGAAUUCCUGGUGGAGCGGUGGAAUGCGCAGAUAUCAGGAGGAACACCAGUGGCGAAGGCGGUUCUCUGGGCCUUUCCUGACGCUGAGGAGCGAAAGCGUGGGGAGCGAACAGGCUUAGAUACCCUGGUAGUCCACGCUGUAAACGGUGGGUACUAGGUGUGGGGUCCAUUCCACGGGUUCCGUGCCGUAGCUAACGCUUUAAGUACCCCGCCUGGGGAGUACGGCCGCAAGGCUAAAACUCAAAGGAAUUGACGGGGCCCCGCACAAGCGGCGGAGCAUGCGGAUUAAUUCGAUGCAACGCGUAGAACCUUACCUGGGUUUGACAUGGAUCGGGAGUGCUCAGAGAUGGGUGUGCCUCUUUUGGGGUCGGUUCACAGGUGGUGCAUGGCUGUCGUCAGCUCGUGUCGUGAGAUGUUGGGUUAAGUCCCGCAACGAGCGCAACCCUUGUUCACUGUUGCCAGCACGUUAUGGUGGGGACUCAGUGGAGACCGCCGGGGUCAACUCGGAGGAAGGUGGGGAUGACGUCAAGUCAUCAUGCCCCUUAUGUCCAGGGCUUCACGCAUGCUACAAUGGCUGGUACAGAGAGUGGCGAGCCUGUGAGGGUGAGCGAAUCUCGGAAAGCCGGUCUCAGUUCGGAUUGGGGUCUGCAACUCGACCUCAUGAAGUCGGAGUCGCUAGUAAUCGCAGAUCAGCAACGCUGCGGUGAAUACGUUCCCGGGGCUUGUACACACCGCCCGUCAAGUCAUGAAAGUUGGUAACACCCGAAGCCGGUGGCCUAACCGUUGUGGGGGAGCCGUCGAAGGUGGGACUGGUG
rnacentral:rRNA from 1 species